rnacentral:rRNA from 1 species
GACGAACGCUGGCGGCGUGCUUAACACAUGCCAGUCGAACGGAAAGGCCCCUUUGGGGGUACUCGAGUGGCGAACGGGUGAGUAACACGUGAGUAACCUGCCCUUGACUUCGGGAUAACUUCAGGAAACUGGGGCUAAUACCGGAUAGGAAUCCUUGCUGCAUGGUGGGGGUUGGAAAGCUUCGGCGGUUUUGGAUGGACUCGCGGCUUAUCAGCUUGUUGGUGGGGUAGUGGCUUACCAAGGCUUUGACGGGUAGCCGGCCUGAGAGGGCGACCGGCCACAUUGGGACUGAGGGACGGCCCAGGCGCCUACGGGAGGCAGCAGUGGGGAAUAUUGCACAAUGGGCGGAAGCCUGAUGCAGCAACGCCGCGGGCGGGAUGACGGCCUUCGGGUUGUAAACCGCUUUCAGCAGGGGCGAAGCUUGUGGUGACGGUACCUGCAGAAGAAGCACCGGCUAACUACGUG